rnacentral:rRNA from 1 species
GAAGCUGCGGCAGCGACACUAUGUGUUGUUGGGUAGGGGAGCGUUCUGUAAGCCUGUGAAGGUGUGCUGUGAGGCAUGCUGGAGGUAUCAGAAGUGCGAAUGCUGACAUAAGUAACGAUAAAGCGGGUGAAAAGCCCGCUC